UACGGAGGGUGCAAGCGUUAUCCGGAUUCACUGGGUUUAAAGGGUGCGUAGGCGGACAGGUAAGUCAGUGGUGAAAUCUCCAAGCUUAACUUGGAAACUGCCGUUGAUACUAUCAUUCUUGAAUAUCGUGGAGGUAAGCGGAAUAUGUCAUGUAGCGGUGAAAUGCUUAGAUAUGACAUAGAACACCAAUUGUGUAGGCAGCUUACUACACGAUCAUUGACGCUGAGGCACGAAAGCGUGGGGAGCAAACAGG
rnacentral:rRNA from 1 species